UACAGACACAUGAGCCUAUGAGCUAUAGGUUUAUAUCAGAUGAUGUUCCGUUAGAUUUAAUUAAUACAUUUAAUAUUCCAAUCUCGCAGGUCAUUCGUCACACUGACAUUGGUGAACAGGAUGUUGCAAAAGAUUUUGUCGAGAGCAUUGUCGAAGUGGUUUGGAAAAUCGAAAAAUUACUCAAAACAAAUAUUUCAAUCAUUAUGAGUGACGACGGCAUAAUUCUAAUAGUCUAAUACACAUUGUCGUUUGUAUAAACAAAUCUUCAACAAUACGACGGAGAAUGUCCGCGAUCAUUGUCACCUGACUAGAAAAUUUCGUCAAUCGUUAUGUUUGAAACGAAGCAUUGGUUUACAACAACCGAAAUUCGCACCAUGUGUUUUCCAUGACCUGUACAGCUGCAGCUACGACGCGCAUUUUAUCGUAACCCAAAUCGGUUAUGACGCAAACACUGUUUAAACCACAGCGAUUUCGCGUCAUUUGCGGCACUACAGGUUGGCGGAAGUGCGCGUCGGGUGCGAACUUUACGCACACGUCUUCCCGCCACUGCCGCCCAGCGCUAUCGCGACACCGCCGCCGUGUCGUGCUCGCCGACCGCCGCCGAAACGGCCGUGGCUGUUGUUCUUUUCGAGCGGUUGACCGCAACGUACACGGUGUACCUUUUACGCCGUCCGUGCGUCUUUUUUUCGCGUACCGUCGCCGCAGUGGCGCAUUUUGUGCGUUUCGCUCCGAUCACGAGGGCCGUCGUCUAGUUGCCAAUUUCGAGUCGGUCUUCGUCUCGAUAUUUUGGACAUUGUCGGCCUAUCCGAGUACAGUCAUUUUGCUGCACGUCGUCGCCCCGUUUGGCCGUGCGGGUUGUCAAACCACGUGUUUAACGAGCUCUUCUAGUGUGUUGUCGCCACAGAAUCUCGCACGUUUCCGUCACCGUGCGUGACGCGUGCAUAAUAUUAUAUACACCGGUUAAUGGUUAUAUAUUAUAUACAUUUGCAUUGCCGUUUGUGUGCGUACACAAUAUUAUUAUGUUUAUAUUCGCGUCGACGUCCGUGUGCGCGGCGUACACACACGCCUCGUAUUUACGCUCGCGCCGCCGUUCGGUGCGGUACCUAUUUGUGUGUGGCUACCGGCCCCAGUCUGACCAUUUUCACGGGAUUAUCGUUCCAGCGUUCCGGAUCACAAGGCGAUGGUCGAGCGGUGUCGGUAUCGUUAUAUCAUUAUUCGUAUUGUUUUUGCUGUACUUAAAGCUGUUUUGUCUGAUGGGCGUGACUUUCGUUUUCGAAGUGAUCUCAUGUGCGGUGGAAGCGGUCAGUGCUCAACUUGCUGCUGGCCCGGGCUCCCGAGUCGGCCCGCGAACGGUUUGUCCGGACAUUCGGCGUCCGCGAAGCGCACAGGUACCCGAGCUUUUUGUCGUUGUGACAGCCCAACAACUUUGGUACCAUUAUCAACAUGAGAACUCGGACCCACAGUAGCGGCGCGACGCCGGCGCAGACGACUGUCAGCGGGUUGCAGCCAAUGGCGCCCGCAGAAAUUUUCACCGGAGGGAGACAAGGUGUAUAUUAUACAUAUAUAUAUAUAUAAAAUGCUAAGUUAGGUUUGGUAAAAUUCUGUAGGUUAGGGGUUAGGUUAGGUAUACAAAUAUUGACAACAAAAGUGGGGAGGCCAUGGUUGCAGCUGUCGCAGUUCGGCAGCUCGGGAUCCGUCGCGGCUGCGGCACGACCGUUCGAUCAAUUUUAAAAUAAUAUUAUACUGAGAGGGCCCAUCAUCACGACAUGAUUGGAUAGGUUGUGGUGGAACGGAAUCGGAGGUUGCCAAAAUGUGUCCAUAGUUAAUGGAAAUAUAAGUCAUAGUAUUUGCAGUGGACGGGAUCAAAGAGCAUCAUAUUGUUAUUAUAAUACUAUACUAGUUACCACAAAGAGGUUAUACCUACAUAUUAAAAAAUCACCAUUGAUAAUAAUUGAUAGUUAUAGAGUUAAAACUAAUAACAGUGACGACUAGUUACAUAAUGUUUUACACAAACAUUUUUGAAAUACGUAAUGUUUCGAUAAAUUCCUUAGUAUUCACGUCGACAAAUAGGUUAGUGAAAUAGUCACUCAAAAUCUAAAACAAUAUAAUAUCUUGUGUUAUUAGUUAUUACCUUCUCAUACUUCAAUAACGUAUAGUCUAAUACUGAAUCGUGUAAGUAUUUUUUUGGCGCAAGCUACAAUUAUUCAUCAUGCAUAUUACAAACGAAUCUCAAGAAUGUUGAUACAAAGUAAAUAUAAUAUUGUGUUGUAUAUAAUGUUUUAGAUUAAUAGUAGUAGUAGUAGUAUAUUAAUAGUAGGUCAGGUAAGAGGACGGUGUUACUUUUGAAGCCAUCGACGUGAGCGUGUGUAUAAGGGUCGCAGAGACAUCCGGCACCCCUCCGUCGCCAAUCACCCCCCUGAGGAAUUUACGGUAGGUAUACGGCUUGUAACGAUUAUUUCAUAAUAUAAUAUAAUGUAUACUAUAUAUCUAGUAAUAUAAUCUUAGACUUCGGUAAUAUUCUAUACGCAUAUUCCAGUCACCAGAAUCAAUAGGUCGUAUAUAUUUUAUUUAUUUUAUUUUAAAUUCUUAUACACACGGAUACUGGGCCCCACUGAAAAGACUCGUGUUGUAUGAAAUAACUAUCUUGUAUUACUUAUUUUUUUCCGCCCGUUCUUCAUACCCAGUGCAUCCGUCAACUGUCGCCCGGCCGGCGCACUAACAGAAAAGUAUAAUAUAUCUACUGCGUUUUAUUUAAUGCGAUCAUUGUAUAGAAUAUGUUUUUCGAACAUUUUUUUUGUCUCGUCGAUUCAUAUUAUGUUUUUCCAUAGGUUUCGACAUAUUUUUAUACCUACACGAUACGGUCAUCUGCAGGGGGUUAUCCGUCCGACCCAACCGAUUUAGACCUGCACGUUGUCCUUAUAUCAUGCACCGGUACGACCCAUGUCGACAUUUUGUGUGGUUUGUGUGAAGGUGGUUUUUAUUCUUAUUAUACUAUUUUCAUAUAUUGAUUGUAUUUAUUUUACUACAUCAGUAUCUUUUUUCUUUCCUUUAAAGUUUUUAAAACACGAUUUCUGAACUCUAUGACAAAAAAAACCUUUCCUGUGAAAUCGUAAAUAUUUUACAGCUGCACGACGUGAAUACUGUAUCGUUUGUAUUGUGUGUACUCCCAACAAAAUUCGUUGAAGAUUUAUUUUUUUCAUUUAUUGUGACCUAAAAUUACGUGUUAAACCUUGGAUUUUUUUUUAUAGAUAUUUUGUUUAGUCACCUUAUAUUACGGGGCUACCGUAAUCUAUACAUCUGUUGCUAACAUUAUGUUAUACGUAAUACGUACGACUAUUGCAUCAUCUUUUAAUUUUUUCACUUUUAAAAAAUAUAAUUCUUAUUUUAACAUAUAUAUUUUAAGUCAUAAACUCGAUUUUCUGAUUAAAUAAAUAGCAUAUAAUAUGUGCAUUGUUUUAAGGUAAUACCUGAUAUUUUUUUCAAUUGUUUCACCUUUGAACAUAGACAAAAUUUGGAGCCUUAGAGAGCUAUUAUAAUGUAUAUGUAUCAUGUAUGUCUAUGGUUAGUAUAAUAGUAUAAUAUGCUUUUUUCAAUUGACAAACUAUUUUAAAUACAGAUCAUUUAUUGAUGCCACGGUUGGGGUUUUUUACUUGUGGGUGGAGGGAGAGUCCUAGCUUUUAAGCUUUGCUUCACUAUACUACGUUUAAUUGAGCAAUCGAAAUUACAGAUGAACGAAUUGACAUUUUUCAAGUCAUUAGAAAAAAAAACAAAGUUUGUUGUGGGUAAAAAAUCAAAUAAAUUAUUAUAAAGUUAAAGAGACAAUGCAAGGAGGUAUCAUAUUUCGAAAAUGUGUAUACUUGUGUUUUGCGUACAUUAUGUAAUACACCGAUAUGUAAAAUUAUAUUAGAAUGCAACAGACAAUUUAUUAUAAUAUGAAUGUUCAAUAUUUUAAAGUAUGUUAUAGGUACUCUCAAAUAACGAUUCUCCCAUGUCAAAAAUAUUAUUUUCUGUAUACAUAUAUAUUUAAGGAUUCAUUAUCAAUUGUUAUAGGUUACGAUCAUUUAUGAAUAAACUAAACAUUGAAAUAAAUAAUUGUGAACCGUAAUAAAAGUUAUGAAAAACACGUGCAUGUGAUUUGACGGUAGGCUAAUGAAAGAAACUCAUUAAUUUUUUUCCCCCUAUUGCCGUGUUUGAUUAUAUUAUAUUUCGGAGACUUGUCGUGUAGUGUGACCCUUUUUAUCGGUAAAUUUUUUUAUCAGAUAUAAUUAUUGUAAUUGUUGUUCUCGGAAUACUAGAUUAUCAGUCACAUAUCGAAUGUACUUAAUUUGUACAUGUAUACAGAAUACGUUUUUAUAAGUGUGAUGGAGACGCUUAGUUCUGUCAACCGUGUGACCAGUCGUCCCCGCGAAAAGAGUCUUAUUUUGUAUAUUUUAUAAUACCUAUAUUAAUAUUAUUAUGAAAAAAAAUAGAUAAUACGUUAUAGUUUCAUACACAUAACUACUUCUGUAUAUGUUACGAUUAUAAUAAAUAAUAUUAUUAUACUCAAACAAUCGAUAAUUUAUAAUACAUCGCAUUAAUACUAAUUUUUAGUAUAAAAUAUUUUAAUCAUUAUAUUGUCGUAUUAUAUCUUUUAGACGCUAUUUACAGGUCUACUCGUGACUCGUCCUAAUUUAUCAUCAGCCAUCACGUUCACCUACCACCUAAACAGUAAACAUAUAAUGUUGAUCUCGGGUACAUUGAUUUUUUUGACUUUCAACAACUUAUGAGACUACAUAUUACUAUUAUUAUUAUUAUUAUUAUUACGUCGUUGUAUUUUUCUUAUUAUAAAAUGACGUAUAUAAUAUAUUAAUAAAUAGAAUCGCAGACUUGUGGUAAAAACUAUUUUGUUGAACAGUAAAUGGGAAAAUCGUUUUUCCGCUCUGUGUAUCUAUGAUUUUUAAUUUUAUUUAUAUUAAUUAUAUCGUUAUAAUUUACCAAUCUAGCAUCUAAGAUAUUUGAUUGAUAGUAUUGCGAACGAUUAUAGUUAAUCAAUGGACCCCCGAAAA